rnacentral:tRNA from 1 species
AAGCCUUUAGUUCAACGGUAGAAUAACGGUCUCCAAAACCGUAGAUUGAGGUUCGAUUCCUCACGGGCUUG